rnacentral:rRNA from 1 species
AUUGAACGCUGGCGGCAGGCCUAACACAUGCCAGUCGAACGGUAACAGGAAGAAGCUUGCUUCUUUGCUGACGAGUGUCGGACGGGUGAGUAAUGUCUGGGAAACUGCCUGAUGGAGGGGGAUAACUACUGGAAACGGUAGCUAAUACCGCAUAACGUCGCAAGACCAAAGAGGGGGACCUUCGGGCCUCUUGCCAUCGGAUGUGCCCAGAUGGGAUUAGCUAGUAGGUGGGGUAACGGCUCACCUAGGCGACGAUCCCUAUCUGGUCUGAGAGGAUGACCAGCCACACUGGAAGUGAGACACGGUACAGACUCCUACGGGAGGCAGCAGUGGGGAAUAUUGCACAAUGGGCGAAAGCCUGAUGCAGCCAUGCCGCGUGUAUGAAGAAGGCCUUCGGGUUGUAAAGUACUUUCAGCGGGGAGGAAGGGAGUAAAGUUAAUACCUUUGCUCAUUGACGUUACCCGCAGAAGAAGCACCGGCUAACUCCGUG